GAGGACUUAAAAUUUAAAGGAAAAAAAAUUCCACUUAAGUAGCAAACUUUAUAAAAUAAGGGUGAAGGAAGGAUGAGAGAUACAAAAAUUCUAGAUUUCAUAAAGUUUGCAUCGUAGGAUGCAAACUAUUUACUUUUCAGUUUUUUCUAUUUACACACUUGCAUCCUAAGUUGCGAAGGGGUAGAAUUGGAAGGUCGGGGAUACGUAAAAGGCUUGGAGACGUGAAGAGAAGAACUCAAAUUUUAAUGUCCAUGAACUGUUUAGUAGAGAAACGUGGGGUGCAAAUAACAUUCACGAAGAAAAAUUUGGCUUUGUCACGUUUUGGACCGAUUUCAUAACCCUUUUGAGAAAACUUGAAUGACUCGCAAAUUCAGAUUCAAUUUCACGAACAACGAUUGAUUCUCUUACGUAAUAGAAAAUCUAUUCCCACAAAUAGAUUGUGAUUUUCUCCUUCAAAGUAUAAGUCUUUGAUCCAAUUUAUCACUUUUUUGCAGCUUGUAAGUGAUUAUUUCCUAGAAUUGCUUAAUGGGUAUUGCCAAUUUUUCAAUUUGAUAGGGUUUUGAUUUCUGGGUAUACUAGAUUUAGAGUUUCAGUAUUGAUCUAUGCAAUUUUGAGAAGAUUUAUUAUUUUUAGGUAUUGACCCUCUCCCGAGGGUCCCGGUAACCCAGAGUUUGGCCGAGCUAAGU
rnacentral:lncRNA from 1 species